rnacentral:rRNA from 1 species
UAGACUGAUGAGUUGCGAACGGGUGAGUAACGCGUAGGUAACCUGCCUCAUAGCGGGGGAUAACUAUUGGAAACGAUAGCUAAUACCGCAUAAGAGUAAUUAACACAUGUUAGUUAUUUAAAAGGAGCAAUUGCUUCACUGUGAGAUGGACCUGCGUUGUAUUAGCUAGUUGGUGAGGUAAAGGCUCACCAAGGCGACGAUACAUAGCCGACCUGAGAGGGUGAUCGGCCACACUGGGACUGAGACACGGCCCAGACUCCUACGGGAGGCAGCAGUAGGGAAUCUUCGGCAAUGGACGGAAGUCUGACCGAGCAACGCCGCGUGAGUGAAGAAGGUUUUCGGAUCGUAAAGCUCUGUUGUU